rnacentral:rRNA from 1 species
GAUGAACGCUGGCGGCGUGCCUAAUACAUGCAAGUCGAGCGAACGGACGAGAAGCUUGCUUCUCUGAUGUUAGCGGCGGACGGGUGAGUAACACGUGGAUAACCUACCUAUAAGACUGGGAUAACUUCGGGAAACCGGAGCUAAUACCGGAUAAUAUUUUGAACCGCAUGGUUCAAAAGUGAAAGACGGUCUUGCUGUCACUUAUAGAUGGAUCCGCGCUGCAUUAGCUAGUUGGUAAGGUAACGGCUUACCAAGGCAACGAUGCAUAGCCGACCUGAGAGGGUGAUCGGCCACACUGGAACUGAGACACGGUCAAGACGCCUACGGGAGGCAGCAGUAGGGAAUCGGCCGCAAUGGGCGAAAGCCUGACGGAGCAACGCCGCGUGAGUGAUGAAGGUCUUCGGAUCGUAAAACUCUGUUAUUAGGGAAGAACAUAUGUGUAAGUAACUGUGCACAUCGUGACGGUACCUAAUCAGAAAGCCACGGCUAACUACGUG